ensembl:misc_RNA Metazoa_SRP Metazoan signal recognition particle RNA
GCCAGGUGUGGUGGUGCACGCCUGUAAUCCCAGCUACUUGGGAGGCUGAGACAGGAGAAUCACUCGAUCCUGGGAGACGAGGGUUGCAGUGAGCUGAGAUCACGCCACUGCACUUCAGCCUGGGUGACAGAGUGAGACUCUGUCUCAA